rnacentral:lncRNA from 1 species
AAAUGAUUGAUUUAUACAUUUAAUGAAAGGGAAACUGUGAAAGAGUCAUAAAACUAUGGACCAGCAAGCAGGUGUCUACGAAACUCCAGCUCAUCAGCAAAGUAUCCAGAAAAUUCUCCAAGGAUAAAACCCCCAGACUUUCAGAAGAAGCCAUCUUCUUCAAAAUCCAUAUAAACCAACUUCUUGGUUUCUGACGGGAGGAGGGAGGCAGACUCCCCUCUCCGCGGAGGGCGAGGCGCCUCUGGGAGGAGGAGGACCGAGAGAAAGGGUCUCCAACAGCGAACCUUUGUCCCGGAAUGCAGAUGAGCCAGCCGCGCGCAGACAAUGCCCGCCCAGUCCUCGCUGCCCCCAUCCAUCUGCGGCUAUUUUGUUAACCCGAUGUUUCUUACAUUCUUUCUCUCGCGCAGAAUACUUGAUGUUGACAGCUGUGAAUUUUAAACAACCAUUCUGGGUAUGUUUUCCUAAUUUUGUGUAUUCAGAUUGUUUUUCCGUAUUGGGGGUGGGGGCUGGCAGCCAAGUACCUUACAGUUCCUUCAUUGAGAGAUUUCAUGCCUUUCCAAAGUGGUGGAGAUUCCGAUUGCUAAACACAAAGUAGAAAUUAAAUGUGCGCACCC